CAGAAUGUAGUGUAAAGGAAACAGAGAAUUUUGAGUUCUGAGAUGUAGGUACAAUCCCUAUUAUUCUAG
rnacentral:tRNA from 1 species